GACGAACGCUGGCGGCGUGCCUAAUACAUGCAAGUCGAGCGGACUUUCAAGAAGCUUGCUUUUUGAAAGUUAGCGGCGGACGGGUGAGUAACACGUGGGCAACCUGCCUGUAAGACGGGGAUAACUCCGGGAAACCGGGGCUAAUACCGGAUAAUAUCUUUCUUCGCAUGAAGGAAGGUUGAAAGGCGGCGCAAGCUGCCGCUUGCAGAUGGGCCCGCGGCGCAUUAGCUAGUUGGUGAGGUAACGGCUCACCAAGGCGACGAUGCGUAGCCCACCUGAGAGGGUAAGCGGCCACACUGGGACUGAGACACGGCCCAGACUCCUACGGGAGGCAGCAGUAGGGAAUCUUCCGCAAUGGACGAAAGUCUGACGGAGCAACGCCGCGUGAGCGAAGAAGGUCUUCGGAUCGUAAAGCUCUGUUGUCAGGGAAGAACAAGUACCGUUCGAAUAGGGCGGUACCUUGACGGUACCUGACCAGAAAGCCACGGCUAACUACGUGCCAGCCGCCGCGGUAA
rnacentral:rRNA from 1 species